rnacentral:rRNA from 1 species
ACAGAGGUCCCAAGCGUUGUUCGGAUUCACUGGGCGUAAAGGGUGCGUAGGUGGCGGGGUAAGUCGGAUGUGAAAUCUCGGAGCUCAACUCCGAAAUGGCAUUGGAAACUACCCUGCUCGAGGAUUGGAGGGGGGACUGGAAUACUUGGUGUAGCAGUGAAAUGCGUAGAUAUCAAGUGGAACACCAGUGGCGAAGGCGAGUCCCUGGACAACUCCUGACACUGAGGCACGAAAGCUAGGGGAGCAAACAG